rnacentral:rRNA from 1 species
GAUGAACGCUGGCGGCGUGCCUAAUACAUGCAAGUCGAGCGAACAGAUAAGGAGCUUGCUCCUUUGACGUUAGCGGCGGACGGGUGAGUAACACGUGGGUAACCUACCUAUAAGACUGGGAUAACUUCGGGAAACCGGAGCUAAUACCGGAUAAUAUUUCGAACCGCAUGGUUCGAUAGUGAAAGAUGGUUUUGCUAUCACUUAUAGAUGGACCCGCGCCGUAUUAGCUAGUUGGUAAGGUAACGGCUUACCAAGGCGACGAUACGUAGCCGAGCUGAGAGGGUGAUCGGCCACACUGGAACUGAGACACGGUCCAGACUCCUACGGGAGGCAGCAGUAGGGAAUCUUCCGCAAUGGGCGAAAGCCUGACGGAGCAACGCCGCGUGAGUGAUGAAGGUCUUCGGAUCGUAAAACUCUGUUAUUAGGGAAGAACAUACGUGUAAGUAACUGUGCACGUCUUGACGGUACCUAAUCAGAAAGCCACGGCUAACUACGUG